rnacentral:lncRNA from 1 species
UUUAAACUGGUUUGCGAAUAGAGAUUCCGGCGAAGGAAUUCUGUUGACCAAGAAGGUGUUAGGCACCCCUCGAUCCCGUGGUUUGACCAUGGUCGCUUGGUGGAGCGUAUCGACUAAUUUGACAUUAUAAAAUGCAUAAACCACAUAAAGCACACAAAACAAUUAAGCAAGCAAACAAAAUAAAACAAUCCAAAAUUUAGCGUCCAGUCCAAUUUAUUACAAACCGAAAUAACCUACACUAGACCUAAACUAUGCUUUACUCGAUGCCUCGGGCCUUGAUCACGAACAUCCUUCACGUACAAAAUUCUUCGAGGCAUUCCCUGGUGAGUAAUACAAAUGACCUCGGGGCAUUCCCCGGCUAAAUGAAUACACUUUUCAAAUACGAUAAACAAAACAUUCAACAAAUAUUCCAAGCAUUCCAACAAUCCAACAAUUCUAAAUUUGCCUACCCGAGCCUACCGUUUACCUACCCGCUCGAUGACAUGUCACGUUCAACAUCAACAAUGAAUAAAAAAUAACAAUAUUCAUUUUUAUCAACUUUCAAUUCCCGUCUUCCCCAAUUCCGUCCCAAAUUCAUUCUCAAUCCAUGAUAAGCACAUGCUUAGAUUAUUAAAUCGCAUUUCAAAAUUCAAAUCCAACAUCAACCAAUAUACGAUCAAGAUUCAAACAUACCAAACACACAAAUCAAUCACGAUUAAGCAAAAAAUUAAAGGAAAGAAGAUAGAAUUGUACCUCAAUGCCGUUUUCAAUUAAAAUUGCUUUUUCCAAUUGAACCGCGUCCAAAAUCUUGAAUUGAACCUCAACGAGACAAUCAUACCCGUCUUUGAUCCACUCCCUUUUAUGGUUUAUCGCUAACCCAAACCCCAAAAAUCUCAAGAGAAUCAGACAAACCCAAAUACAAUUUCCAACCAGACUUUGAGGAUAUGGCAAGUCUGUUCGUUUAGAUAAGCUGAUUCCGGCGAUGAGUUGGCCAGAAAAUUGAAUUGGGAGUCAUUACUAGCAGAUCUCGGUCUAUUUUUGUCAGAGCUGGAGCUGGCUUUGUUAAUUCCGGCAAAAUUUGCUGGAAUAGAGACUGGAAUGGGGCCGCCGUCACUAGAUUUUGGUUGAGUGGUCUAUCUGGAGUUAGGAGGGGGUGAGUCCAAUGGCAUUCAUCGACGGAGAAGGUGAUUUCCGAUGCGUUUAGCCAAUUUUUCGGUGAAACACCACUCGCUGGAAUAGUACUCUCUGAUCACUCUUUGAAUCUCUUCUACCUCUCUCUCUCGUUCCUCUCUUCUCUCUCAAUCUCCCUCGAUUUCUCACACUCUUUUGUCAUGGCUGUGUGUGUGCAUGAAUCUUUAUAGAGUGUGUGAAAAUUGUGUGUAUUUUCCCCUCCCUGUGUUGUUAUUCCAGUGGUGUGUAUAUGUGUAGUGUGUGCUGUGUGGUGAGGUGAGUGAAUUAAAUGGAGAAGAAGCCACUCGGAAGUGAGUGUUUUUGUUUUUUUUUCUUUCACUAUGUCAGUGCAUGUGUAUAUGAUAAAAAUCUUUUCCUCCAUGAAUUGUGGAUGUCCGUGUGUAUAUAUGGAAGGUGAGAUGGUCAGAUUACUGUCAUUCUCCAAUGGAAAAGGAUGAGUGAUGGUGUAUAUUGUUGUUCCCUCAAUAUUCCCUGUGGGCCAUUUUAUAUUUUUGUUGUUUUUGAAUUGGUUUAAAAAAAUGAAAUAAAAGGUGAAGUGGGGUAGGGUAGUGGGGCAGGGUAGGUAGGGUAGAGGUAGGGUGUGGUUGGGAGUAGGUGAUUAGGAUAAAAUUUGUUAGGAUAAAUUAAAACAACAUAAAAUUUGUUAAGAAUUUUGUUAAGGGUUGUUAUUUUUGUAUUUUUGUGAGGUAUGAUUAUAUGUUUGAGGGUACACGGUAGGAUAAGGUAAAAAAUGGAAAAAAGCUUUCAAAAAGGGACAAAAUUACGUGUCUACAUUAUGCCCCUCUUUGCAUGUAAACACAAAAUGUUUUCAUACAAAGAAGUAUACACUGAGAUAGAAUUUUGACCCGACCAUUAUUCAAAGGAAGAAAUAGAAGGAAAAAGGACAAUCAAGUCUUGACUUAGGACAUCCUACCUACCUAAGUUAUAAGGAAAUUAAAUCGCGGGUAUCUCAAAGGGUUGGAAAGAAUGGGACAAUACCGAGUUGGAGAGUCGAGUGAGGUUCCGUUGAGGUUCUGGUCCGCUACUCUGUUAUUACAUCAAAUGAAAAUUACAAGUUAAAACAUAAAUGAAAUUACAAAAAAUCAUAUCUAUGCAGGUACUUUUGUACUCCUGACUUGAGUUUCAUAACCCUAUUUUUCAGGCGGGCUCCUGACUUGCAAUUUCAUCAAUCUGUUGACUUUCACUUUUUCACCUUGUUGCUUGAAUUUCAACUUUUUUACCUUAUUUCUUAAAUUUCAUGCAUUCUCCGUGUUUUUUAGGCAGGCUCCUAACAAAUGAAACUGACAAGGAAGUGUAUCUCCCUACAAAUGUUGCUUGAAUUUCCCACACAAGGAAGUGCAUCUCUUUACAAAUACCGCUUGAAUUAUCAAACAAGGAAGUGCAUCUCCUUACCAAUGCCGCUUGAAUUACCAAAAUAAGGAAGUGUUUCUCCUAACUAAUGUCUCUUAAAUUACCCAAACAAGAAAAUGUGUCUCCUUACUAAUGCCACUUGAAAUAAACAAACAAAGAAGUGCAUCUCCUCAUAAAUGUCGCUUGAAUUAUCCAAACAAGGAAGUGUGUCUCCUCACCAAUGUCGCUUGAAUGACCAAAAUAAGGAAGUGUGUCCCCUUAUAGAUGUUGCUUGAAUUACCCAAACAAGGAAGUGUGUCUCCUUACAAAUGUUGCUGGAAUUACCUAAACAAGGAAGUGCGUCUCCUUACAAAUGUUGCUGGAAUUACCCAAACAAGGAAUUGCGUCUCCUUAUAAAUGUUUCUUAAAUUACAUAAAUAUGGAAGUGCUUCACCACACAAAUAUCUCCUGAAUUGCCCAAACGACGAAGUGCGUCUCCUUACUAAUGUUGCUUGAAUUAACCAAACAAGGAAGUGCAUCUCCUUACAAAUAUUGCUUGAAUUGCCCAAACAAGGAAGUGCGUCUCCUUACAAAUGUUGCUUGAAUUGCCCAAACUAGGAAGUGUGUCUCCUUACAAAUACCGUUUGAAUUACCAAACAAGGAAGUGCGUCUCCUUAUAAAUAUUGCUUAAAUUAUGAAACAAGGAAGUACAUCUCCUUACAAAUGUCGCUUGAAUUGCAAACAAGGAAGUGCGUUUCCUCACAAAUAUUACUAGAAUUAUCCAAAAAAGGAAGUACGUUUCCUUACAAAUGUUGUUGGAAUAACCCAAACAAAGAAGUGCAUCUCCUUACAAAUGUUGCUUGAAUUGCCCAAAUAAGGAAGAGCAUCUCCUUACAAAUGUCUCCUUAAUUAUCCAAACAAAGAAGUGGGUCUUCUAGAGAUAUUGGACGAUGAGUUUUACCAUGGUUUUGAUUACCAAACCCGUGCAACAAAUUGCCUCCUAUAUUCGUGGAAGUGUGGCAUUGCAACUUUUGAUGUUUAGGCUUUGAAAUCCUUGAUUCGAAGGUAACAUAUGUUCCUGUUUCAUACAAAGAAAACAGGUUAGUUCAAAAAUAUGGUGGUUGCUUUGUGGCUUUAGCUUUCACGGCAAUCGCUCUUGCCCCCGUCAUAUUUAACCUUACUUCCAACCAUUAGCAUAUAUCAUCGACUUGCUGCAUCAUUGACCAAACUCAGAUUAUCAAGAUUGACUCUGAAACAAACACAGUAUCUCUGCUUUGCGUGCUUCUCAGAUAAACCCUUUGAACCUUGAUAUUUCCAUGAGUUGCCAGACUUGUCAGUUGACAAAAAUUUCUGUAUGUUUUAUUUCAGCUCACAAUUAUGUCUCUUUCAUGUGUUGACCUUUUGUCUUGAUUUGCGCAAUUGAAGAAGAUGGUAGCCAGUUUUGAAAUUUUUUCUCACUUGUUUUAAUAUGGACUUGACUCAAAGACGAGAAAAAUGAUGAUGACUUUUAUUUGGACAACUGACUCAAGAAAACAAAAUAAAAACAAAAGAAGAAAGAAAAGACAAUGAAUGUCUCCAUUUGAAACAAAGAAAUGAAAAAUUAUCUAGAAAUGACAGUCAACUCUAAUGAUUAUGCCAUGCAUUUUGGAUUAAGCUGCCUGAUCUUUCCAUCCAAACUUUCUACUAAUUUUUGUUGAGUUAAUGGCCAUGAAACUGAGUUAUUUCUUUAGGUCAAUUGCCUUUAAGACCUCAUUCGGCUAGUGACACCUUGAAGGAUUUUUACCAACAAGCCUCUCUUAUUCUCUUUUUCUCUGUUCACCUUUGUCUUAUGGUGUCUGUGAGGGUUUUUCACUAAUGAGACUCUUAUUUAUAUUUUUCUCAACUCACAGUUGUCUUACAGUACCCUUGAGGGUUUUCACCGAUAGGACUCUCUCAUUUUUUUCUCUCUCGACUUACUAUCGCGUUAUGGUGUCCGUGAGGGUUUUCACCAAUAAGACUCUCUCAUUUUUAUUUCUCUCCUGAUUUCUUAUGCUUAGGAAGAAAAGUAGUUCCCAAAAUGCGUCAUCAUAUCCAUUGCAUGCUUAGACUUAACAUUCUCAAAGAUUGAUCUGAAGUUCUUUCUUUGUUGUACCUUGGCUUUUGGAUAGGGUUAGAAAGAAAGGAUGGCUUUUGGAUAGGGUUAGAAAGAAAGGAUGACAUGAGGCUCAAAUGACACUUGAAGUGGGGUAGGACUUACAACUUUUAGAAUUGACUCAAAUAAUGAGGAUUAACCCAUGCCCCAGUUUCUUUGGAUAGGUGACUCUAAAUUAUUUAUUUGGUUGGACCGAGCCCAGAGUAGGGCAGCCUAUGUAUCUCACCCUCGAAAGAGAAGAAUCAGGUCACGCGUAGUUCUGGCGGCUUGUUUUGCUUGAUUCUGAUUUCUUUUUUCUUUUGACUUUUUUUUUAUUUGUGAUUUUCUUGACUUUAUUUUUCUUGACACUCUUUUUUCUUUUUGGACACGUUUUCUUUUUUUUUUUUGAAACUUUUUGACUCUAUUCUUUUUCUCGACACUUUUCUUUUGAGUUUUCCUGACUCUAUCUUGAUUCCAGAAGAGGGUUAUGAAAGAAAAUAGGACUAAAGCUCAAAUUGGGUAAACAAAGGAUGACACAAUGUUUGGAUAACAGAAUAAACUGCCUUUGUCAUAUCAAUCCUUGAAAAUACUAAUAGAUAGCAUGCAAGUGAAAGUGAAAGAUGAAAAUCAUUGUGACAUCUCUUACAACAUUAACUUUGACUGAGUCUGUGCGUCACUACUUCUUCCUCAAACUCCACCUUUGUUGUACAUUCCUCACAUCGAAUGACUCAUGCUUUCGUGGAGCUGAUUUUUCUGUUCCUUUUGAUGUAGGACCACAAAUUCACUAUUUGACCUAAUUGAGCCAUGUAUUUCAAUUGAUGACCAAUUUAUUCUUGCGAUUCUCAAAAUAAUUGCCUUAAAUUUUUCAAAUAAGGAUUCAACUUUUCGCCAAAUAUCUCAACGCUCUACCUAUGUCCUCAGAUACUCUCUUUUUCUAACAUUAAUCCUUUGACUCAAUUCUCAUGCUUAAAUUGGAUUUUAAGAUUUGGAUGAGAAUUCUGCUAGCAUGUCAUAACACUAGAAUCAACAUAAAAUGUACUAUGUAAUGAAAACAAACAAACAACAUAAAUUUAAAACCUAAAGAAAAAAGGGACACUCCAUUUAAUUAAAAUGAAAGAUAGAAGGAUUUUAACAUAACGACAAAAGGACAAAACCAGAUAGAUCCCAAACUAUAACCCUGAAAUAAUUUGAAUAAUAGAAAAUAAAACAAAACAGGCUACCGAACCUCUUCCUAGUAGGGAGAGGGGUGACUUUUCAAUUGCUCAGACUGAUAUCUUAGCCACUGGUUUGCAUAUCAACAUGACUAGAACUUUCCUCACUGUCAAUGUUCUGCACCAUAAUUGAUUUAUCUUGAAUCAUCUUUUUAAUUUAUCUUUUCAAAGCACGACAAUCUUCAAUACUAUGACCCUGAAUAUUAGAUUGAUAUGCACAUCGUACAUUAGGAUCAAAACUUUUUGAAUGUGGGUCAGGAGUAUACCCAAUGAGAGGAGUAAUCAUGCCCCGCUGUACCAAUCUCUGAAAUAGUCUGGCAUAUGUCUCUUCGAUUGUUGUGAAACUAUCCUUCGACUUCUGUCUCAUUUCACUGUUUGGCUUAAAUUGAAAACCUGGCCUAGAAGGGCUUUGGUAUGUUUGUGGAGUUUGAGGAUAACUCUGAGGAGUUGGUGCACGCCAUUAUGGGUAAGAAGGGGAUUGAACAUAUGGUUUUGCAUUGUAUACUGGAUAUGGCGGUGGAGGAAUGAAGUAUAAUGGAUUUUGGGAGUGAUUCUGUGGAGCUUGGGCAUAAGCUUGGGUUUGAGCCUGUGGGUAACGAUGGUGUGGUACUCUUGUCCGUGCCUGUUGUCCAGAUACAAUAAUAGAUUCAUCUUCCUCAUACUUCUUCCCUCUGAUAUUUCCCGAACCUUUUUGAAUUGCUUGAGUAGUCACUUUUAAUGUUGCAAAACUCACAAUGUGGAUGGUCUUAAUUCCAUCCUCUAUCAUCUCCCCCAUUUUGAGGACCUCAAUAAAUGGCUUGCCUAAUGUAAGUAACAAGUGUUGAUAAUAUGUUUUAUCCUGAGCUUGAAUAAAUACCUCCACUAUCUUACUUUCUUUUAUUGACGGUUUCACCCUAGCAGCUUGUUCACGCCAUCUAAUCGCGUACUCUCUGAAAGUCUCAGUACUCUUUUUCUUUAUGUUAGUUAGGGAUUUCUCAUCAGGAAUCAACUCCACAUUGUAUAGGAAUUGUUUCACAAACUCAUUAGCUAGGUCAUCCCAACUAAUCCACUUGUCGAUGUCUUGGUCAACAAAUCAUUCUGAAGCUAGGCCUGAAAGACUCUCACCAAAAUAUGCCAUGAGUAAUUCUUCCUUCCCUCCAGCACCCCUUAGUUGGUUGCAAUAACAUCUCAAAUGUGCUACAGGAUCACCAUGUCCAUCAUACUUCUCAAACUUCGACAUUUUAAAACCAAAAGGAAGAUAAAUCCCUGGAAACAUGUACAGAUCUUUAUAUGAGACACUUUUGUACCCCCAAGUCCCUGGAGGUCUUUCAUAGCCAAUUCCAAACUUCUUAAUUUUUUGGUCAUUUCCUUUUGUUCUUCUGUUAUAACAGGCUUCUUAGUGUUAAGAGGAAAUUCUGGUGGGUGAGUAUAGCCAUAAGGAUUAGUCGACUUAAAUGUGGGCUCAAUAGCAUGAUGUUGAUAAGGAAAAAUAUUCAAUACAGGCUCUCUCGUAGAGUGAGGAGGCACAACUUAUGGAUAAACCUCAAAAGUAAGAGCUUUGGGUGGGGGUGGUGCUGCAAAAACAUGAAUAGUGGGUGGAGCCGAGCAUGUGGUAGCUUUGUGUUGAGGAGUGAGAAAAUAAAUAUUGGAAGUGUUUGGAUAGUGUUGCCCUGGAGCAGGUCCUGAUGCAUGUUGUGGUGUAUCAACAAAAAUAGAAAACUAUGUAUGUGACACUGAAGGUAAGCUAGAAAGAUAUUCCAAAUUAUCAGCGGGAAAUGGAGGAGGUGGCAACCGAUUAGCCCAAGAUCAAUGCAUUUCUAUCAUUUGUUGCCUUAAUUUUUGAAUCUCUUCAUUAGCUGCUAAAUUUUCAUUGCCCGAACUCCCUAUCUAAUCAGUGACAACAAAAUCGAUAUCCUUGUUGGCCAUAACUUUCUCUGUGACUUGGUGCAAUAUGGAGGACCAGCCAAAAUGCCACAAACCAACCGCCUUAAACUAAUUGAAUAAGAGAUAGCAAAUGAGUUAGAAUUCAACAUUUUUUUUUCAAAACCUUUUUUUUUUGAAAAGGUCACCAAACCCAAGAGGGGUGGCUACGUAUCUCACCGCCGAAAGAGGAUAAUCAGGUGUGCGUAGUUCGUGAAGUCUUGUCAAAAUGGAUAAUUAAUUCUUUUUCCUUUUUUUUUUCUUCAGAAACUUCAAAAAUAACAAAUUGUCAAAAGAAUUGACAAAAAUCUUUUUGCAUUUUUCAGGUUUGAACUCCCUAUACAAAACGAAAUCUAUGAUUAUCAAAGAAAAAUCUUUUUGGAUUAUCAAUUUUUGAAUUUCAUACGAAAAUGAGACUUGAAGCUAUUAUCAAUUUUUUUUGUGAUUUUCUUUUAAAGAUGUAUAUGAAACACCUACUCUAAUAAAGAGUGAAGAUUUCUUUUUUUUAAUUUUUUAAAUAAGAUCCCCGAACCAACAAUAGGCUGCCUACGUAUCUCACUCCCGAGAGAGGAGAAUCAGGGGUUCGUAGUUCAUCCAGAUUGGACAAUUAAGGAUUAUAGAACAAACAAAACCUUGAAUUGAGAGACACAAGUACUCGAUGAAAAUAAAAUCUUUUUGGAUUUUUAAUUUGACACUUCAUACAAAAAUGACGCCAACAACCAUGAAAGAAAAAUCUUUUUGAUAUGAAAUAUACAAAACUUCUACCAUCUUUUUGAAUUUUCCUUUUAUAAAAAGCUCCUAUUUGAAUUUUUUUUUUUUGAAAAUUUUGAAUUAUGAAUGCAUGAUAAAGGAACAAAAGAAAAAUCAUUUUGAUAUUUUUGAGAAAAUAAGUGUGAAAGGUAAAAAAUCUUUUUGAAUUUUUGAAUUGUGAAGAAAAAAAAAUCGAAAGCCAUAAAGAACUCUAAAGACUUACGAAACUCUUUUUUUUUUCAACUUAUUAUUCAUUUUCUCUUUUUUCAACACUUUCUUGUCUACACACUCUACUUCUAACACAUGUUUUUCCCAAAUCAGUCCAUCAAAUGACCAUAUUACCCUCAAAGAUGCAACAUUUAGCAUGUAGGGAUGCUUCAGAGGUGAGUCUUCACAAAGGACCAAGUGAGUCCCGCUAGGUCUCAAUAUGAUGCAGAUAAACAUGACCUAAAGGCUGACCUACAUUGAGGUUUACUAACAAGGCCGUUUGGGGAGCAUAUGAUCGAUAGUGGCUGCUUUGCUUUUCGCCCACUCCAUACAUCCGGUGGCUCCCCCUCCUAAAAUAAGGGUGACUCAACUAUAAACAUGUAGCACGUAAGCACUCAACAAUGAUAAAAUAAACACAAACAAUAACACAAACAAUGUUUAUACACUCAUAAUGUCAAACUUAGCCGAUAAAACUCCAAAAAUAAGCUCAGAUUUUGAAAAGGAUCCCCAGCAGCGUCGCUAAAGCUAUCACACCCCCUUUUCAUCCAAAAAGAAUAUGAUUAAGAUCGAAAGGGUUUUUAAUUAUCAAAGUGACAAAAGAUGAAAGUUUGUUUUGAAAAAGGAUUGUUUAUAUUUUUUAUUGAGAGUCGUCACUUGACAUAAUCCGGUGUAUCAAGUCACCUUUUAAAGAUCCUUUUCAAAAUGAUUUUUGACGUUUUAAACUGGUUUGCGAACAGAGAUUCUGACUAAAGAAUUCUGUUGACCAAGGAAAAGGUGUUAGGCAUCUCUCGAUCCUGUGGUUUGACCAUAAUCGCUUGAUGGAGCGUGUCGGAUAAUUUGACAUUAUAAAAUACAUAAACCACAUAAAGCACUCAAAACAAUUAAGCGAGCAAACAAAAUAAAACAAUCCAAAAUUUAGCGUCCAAUCCAAUUUAUUACAAACCGAAAUAAAAAUACUGAAAUAACUUACACUAGACCUAAACUAUGCUUUACCCGAUGCCCCGGGCCUUGAUCACGAAUAUCCUUCACGUACAAAAUUCUUCGAGGCAUUCUCCAGUGAGUAAUACAAAUGACCUUGGGGUAUUCUCCUGCUAAAUGAAUACACUUUUCAAAUACGAUAAACAAAACAUUCAACAAAUAUUCCAAGCAUUCUAACAAUUCAAUAAUUCUAAAUUUGCCUACCCGAGCCUACCGUUUUCCUGCCUGCUCGACGACAUGUCACAUUCAACAUCAACAAUGAAUAAAAAAUAACAAUAUUCAUUUUUAUCAACUUUCAAUUUUCGUCUUCCCCAAUUCCAUCCCAAAUUCAUUCUCAAUCCAUGAUUAGCACAUGCUUAGAUUAUUAAAUCGCAUUUCAAAAUUCAAAUCCAACAUCAACCAAUAUACGAUCAAGAUUCAAACAUACCAAACACACAAAUCAAUCAUGAUUAAGCAAAAAAUUAAAGAAAAAGAAGACAGAAUUGGACCUCAAUGCCACUUUCAAUUAAAAUUGCUUUUUCCAAUUGAACCGCGUCCAAAAUCUUGAAUUGAACCUCAACGAGACAAUCAAACCCGUCUUUGAUCCACUCCCUUUUCUGGAUUAUUGCUAACCUUAACCCCAAAAAUUGCAAGAGAAACAGACAAACCCAAAUAUAAUUUCCAACCAGACUUUGAGGAUAUGGCAGGUUUGUUCAUUUCGAUAAGCCGAUUCCAGCGAUGAGUUGGCCAGAAAACUGAAUUGGGAGUCACGACUAGCAGAUCUUGGUCUAUUUUUAUUAGAGCUAGAGCUGGCUUUGUUAAUUUCGGCAAAAUUUGCCAGAAUAGAGACUGGAAUGGGGCCGUCGCCACUAGAUUUUGGUUGAGUGGUCUAUCCGGAGUUAGGAGGGGGUGAGUCUGGUGGUAUUCAUCGGUGGAGAAGGUGCUUUCCGGUGUGUUUAGCCAAGUUUUUUAGCGAGACACCACUCACUGGAAUAGUACUCUCCAAUCUCUCUCCGAAUCUCUUCUACCUCUCUCCCCCAUUCCUCUUUUCUCUCUCAAUCUCCCUUCAUUUCUCACACUCUUUUGUCAUGAUUGUGUGUGUGCAUGAAUCUUUAUAGAGUGUGUGAAAAUUGUGUGUAUUUGCUCCUCCCUGUGUUGUUAUUCCAGUGGUGUAUAUAUGUGUAGUGUGUGCUGUGUGGUGAGGUGUGUGAAUUGAAUGGAGAAGAAGCCACUCAGAAG